CCUGCCCAGUGGAUAACAUUUCAACGGCCGCGGUAUUUUGACCGUGCAAAGGUAGCAUAAUCACUUGUCUUCUAAAUAAAGACUAGUAUGAACGGCAAAACGAAGGUUUAACUGUCUCCUUUGUCCACUCAAUGAAAUUGAUCUCCCAGUACAAAAGCUGUGAUUAAACAACAAGACGAGAAGACCCUAUGGAGCUUAAAACAUACUAGAAAGUACAACAACAUUUAUUAAUCUAAUGUACUAAUUCCACAUUGUUUUUGGUUGGGGCGACCACGGAGAAUACUAAUCCUCCGAGAUGACAUGCCAGGAAAACAACCCAAAACAUCAGAAAACUGACACAAUUGACCCAAUUAACUUUGACCAACGAAACAAGUUACCCUAGGGAUAACAGCGCAAUCCUCUUCAAGAGCCCAUAUCGACAAGAGAGUUUACGACCUCGAUGUUGGAUCAGGAUAACCUGACAGUGUAACCGCCGUCAAAGGUUUGUUUGUUCAACAAUUAAAAUCCUACGUGAUCUGAGUUCAAACCG
rnacentral:rRNA from 1 species